rnacentral:rRNA from 1 species
UACGUAGGGUGCGAGCGUUAAUCGGAAUUACUGGGCGUAAAGCGUGCGCAGGCGGUGAUGUAAGACCGAUGUGAAAUCCCCGGGCUUAUCCUGGGAACUGCAUUGGUGACUGCAUCGCUCGAGUAUGGCAGAGGGGGGUAGAAUUCCACGUGUAGCAGUGAAAUGCGUAGAGAUGUGGAGGAAUACCGAUGGCGAAGGCAGCCCCCUGGGUCAAUACUGACGCUCAUGCACGAAAGCGUGGGGAGCAAACAGG